UUCGAUCGUAGCUCCAGAUUGAACGCUGGCGGGAUGCUUACAUGCAAGUCCGAACGGCAGCACGGACUUCGGUCUGGUGGCGAGUGGCGAACGGGUGAGUAAUGUAUCAGGAACGUGCUGGUAGCGGCGGGGAUAACGCUACGCGAAAGCGUAGCUAAUACCGCAUACGCCCUUCGGGAAAGCGGGGGACCUUCGAGGCACUCGCACUAUUGAAGCGGCCGAUAUCGGAUUAGCUAGUUGGUGGGGGUAACGGCUCACCAAGGCGACGAUCCGUAGCUGGUUUGAGGACGACCAGCCACACUGGGACUGAGACACGGCCCAGACUCCUACGGAGGCAGCAGUGGGAAUUUUGGACAAUGGAAACCUGAUCCAGCCAUCCCGCGUGUGCGAUGAAGGCCUUCGGGUUGUAAAGCACUUUUGGCAGGAAAGAAACGGCACGGGAUAAUACCCCGUGCAACUGACGGCCUGCAGAAUAAGCACCGGCUAACUACGUGCCAGCAACCGCGGUAAUACGUAGGGUGCAAGCGUUAAUCGGAAUUACUGGGCGUAAAGCGUGCGCAGGCGGUUCGGAAAGAAGAUCUUGAAAUCCCAGAGCUUAACUUUGGAACUGCAUUUUUAACUACCGAGCUAGAGUGUCAGAGGGAGGUGGAAUUCCUGCGUGUAGCAGUGAAAUGCGUAGAUAUGCGGAGGAACACCGAUGGCGAAGGCAGCCUCCUGGGAUAACACUGACGCUCAUGCACGAAAAGCGUGGGAGCAAACAGGAUUAGAUACCUGGUAGUCCACGCCCUAAACGAUGUCAACUGGCUGUUGGGGCCUUCGGGCCUUGGUAGCGCAGCUAACGCGUGAAGUUGACCGCCUGGAGAGUACAGUCGCAAGAUUAAAACUCAAGGUGUGACGAGGACCACACAAGCGGUGGAUGAUGUGGAUUAAUUCGAUGCAACGCGAAAAACCUUACCUACCCUUGACAUGUCUGGAAUCCCGAAGAGAUUUGGGAGUGCUCGCAAGAGAACCGGAACACAGGUGCUGCAUGGCUGUCGUCAGCUCGUGUCGUGAGAUGUUGGGUUAAGUCCCGCAACGAGCGCA
rnacentral:misc_RNA from 1 species